rnacentral:rRNA from 2 species
GAGUAAUGUCUGGGAAACUGCCUGAUGGAGGGGGAUAACUACUGGAAACGGUAGCUAAUACCGCAUAACGUCGCAAGACCAAAGAGGGGGACCUUCGGGCCUCUUGCCAUCGGAUGUGCCCAGAUGGGAUUAGCUAGUAGGUGGGGUAACGGCUCACCUAGGCGACGAUCCCUAGCUGGUCUGAGAGGAUGACCAGCCACACUGGAACUGAGACACGGUCCAGACUCCUACGGGAGGCAGCAGUGGGGAAUAUUGCACAAUGGGCGCAAGCCUGAUGCAGCCAUGCCGCGUGUAUGAAGAAGGCCUUCGGGUUGUAAAGUACUUUCAGCGGGGAGGAAG